UGGCUUUAGGGAACUUUUAUUUUCCAAAGGACGUCUGCGUUCCUGCAAGUGCAGAGCUUGGGGUGCUUUACUUUUCUACUCCAGAGGGAGUCCCUUUGCCUUUCUGUUUUCUUUUUUGGAAUUUAGCAAUCACCACAUCAGCCCUUGUUAUGGUUGAGCCUUCAGGCUCUGGUAAUGGAAGAAGGGGUCGUAAGACUCCUCGAGAGUCAGACACUCUCGAGGAGCGUGAAAGAAAACGUCUCCAAGAUUUGUUUGCAGAGCCGACAGAUGAGGACUCAUUUGAGGGUUUUUCUCAGGGUUUGGAGGAAGAGAUGGUCAGCUCGGAGGAGGAUGACAUGGAAUGGACUCGUGUGAGGGAGGACUUGGGUGUUGGGGAAACAGGCAAUGAAAGCGUGGGAGGUGAUUGGCGGGUUGCAGGAUCAGACCCAUGGACUGGUUGGAGGGAUGGAGCGGGAUCCACAGCUGGGGAUGCUGUGGGGCGUAGUCGUAGGUGCUUAAACUCUGAUGAGGAUGAUGAUGUUGGGGCGUCUGGAAUUGGGAUGGCAGCUGACAGCGAUGAUGAGCUUGAACUGGGAUAAAAUGGGGUUUGGGACCAAUGUCUAAUUGCGUUGGGCAAGGUAAUCUGGACGGACGCUUGGGCUUUUGUUUGGGAACUUCCUGAAGACGGGUGUGAUUCGCUACUGGAUACCUUGAACCUCCGUCGUCUUUUUGACGGGCAAUACCUACUUACACUGGAUUGACGCUGGACUGACUGACUACGAUUCCGGAUUAACCCUGCUGCUGGCUAUCGGUGAGACCUUUGGAUUCCUUGACGACUACGCUUGGCUAUUGAUCUUCUGGACCGGAUUGGGACCCUGCUGACUGCCGUUACCCUAAACCUGAAUCCUGACUACGACCACGCUUUCAUUCGCUGCAGGGAGGAAUAAACAAGCCUGUUUUACUCCCCUGCUGUUUCUGAGUAGCAGAGAGGAAUCUGUUACCAGUCUUUUGUUUACAUUCUGACUCCUGUUGAUCCUCUUUUGUUUGCAUUGUUUGCCAAGCUGAAGUAAGCACUUUGAUUUAAUCCGGAUUACACUGCUGUUUAACCCGGUUUAUCCCUUUGAACCAUUUAAGCUCAAACUGAGCUGUUUUUUGUUAUUUAUCCCACUGAAGUCAAGUGUUUGCCCUGUUCUUUGUUUCCUACGGGCGUUUUUAGUUCUGUAACCUCAAUAAACUGAGUUUUGUUUUA